rnacentral:rRNA from 1 species
GACGAACGCUGGCGGCGUGCCUAAUACAUGCAAGUCGAGCGGACUUUCCCGACUGCUUUCACUCCGGAGGGUUAGCGGCGGGUGGGUGACUAACACGUAGGCAACCCGUCCAUAAGACCGGGAUACCAUUCGGUAACGAAUGCUAAUACCGGGUAGUCGGACCUCUCGCUUGAGGGGGUCGGGUAAGGCGGAGCAAUCUGCCGCUCACGGAUGGGCCUGCGGUGCGUGAGCUGGUUGGUGGGGUAACGGCCUACCAAGGCGACGAUGCGUAGCCGACCUGGGAGGGUGAUCGGCCACACGGGGACUGAGACACGGCCCAGACUCCUACGGGAGGCAGCAGUAGGGAAUCUUACGCAAUGGACGCAAGUCUGACGGAGCAACGCCGCGUGAGAGAGGAAGGCCUUCGGGUCGUAAAGCUCUGUUGCCAGGGAAGAACGGGUAGGGGAGUAACUGCCCUUGGCGUGACGGUACCUGGGAAGAAAGCCCCGGCUAACUACGUG